rnacentral:tRNA from 1 species
GCCUUCAUAGUUUAAUGGAUAGAACGCAGGUUUGCGGUAUCUGUAAUCCAGGUUCGAUUCCUGGUGAGGGCACAA